GAGGAGGGUGGGAGAGAACUGCCUUACACCACUAGUGCAGCCUGCCAUGCAAGGGGCAGGGGAGAGAGAGAGAAGUGAGGGGAGACAGAAGUGAGAGGCGAGAGAAGGCAUGUGAUGUUGACAGAGCAAUUUACCCAACUGUCAGCACAGAGAGAAUAUGACUGGAAUCCAUGAUCAACCCAUGCAUCUACUUGGCUGACUUACAAAGUCUUAAUGGAAAUCACUGAAAGAAAGUGACAAGAAAUGGAAGUCCUUAUAGUAUAUGACAGAAACCACCAAGAAUGGAUGGAUGCAAAUUACAUAUGAUUAAUAGACACAAAGGAAUGAGCCACACAGCACAACAUGUAUCAUCUCACUUGAAGGAACACACACAACUCUCUUUCUGUGAACUGUCCUGCAAGGAGCCUUUUACUUUGCCCAUGCUAAAAAGAAUGUGUUGCAGAAAACUCUUCCAGCAGAGAUUCAGCAGGCCUCCUCAUUUUUGACCCUCAGGCAUACCUUGAAGAUGUGUUUUUUUAUGUCAAUGGAUGCAGUUGUUCAACGUUUUCCAGUCAUUUUAUUGAUUGUUUUGUAUAGCUUUUAAUGGGUUUUUAAUGUUGCUGAUGUUUUGUGAGAAUGUGGUAUAUAAAAAAAACCUUCUAUAAACAGACAUAAAAACUUAGCGAACACCCUCUGUUUGGAGAAAUAGAGAGAUAAAGGUUCUGAAGCCUCUGCACCAACCCUCAACACACUGAAAACAGUGCUAUCCAUAUUAAAGAAUACAAAACAAAUUAGCUCAUAUAAUCCAAAUUACUCCCAUAAAGAAAGGUUACCAAGUUUUGGCAGCC